GCCCGUGUGGUUCCACGCGUGUCCCUCGCGUGUCCACGUGGCCCAACGCACAUCCCCCGUGGCCGUGUGUGUCCACACGCGUGUCACUAGCACAACUGCCCUUAGUGUGUGUGUGCGUGUCUGCAUGCAUGUGCCUAGCGUGUCUGUGUGGCUGCGCACACGUCCUGAGCGUGCCUGUGGCCGAACGUGUGUUGCUGGCGUGCUCGUUUGUCUGCACGUGUCCCUAGCAUGUCCUCGUGGCCACACAUGUCCCUAGCGUGUCCGUGUGGCUGCACACAUGUCCCUUGUGUGGCUGUGCAGCUGUACGCGUGUCCUUGGGGUGUCCAUGGCUGCACACAUGUCCCUAGCGUGUCUGUGUGGCUGCACACAUGUCCCUUGCGUGGCCGUGCAGCUGUACGCGUGUCCUUGGCGUGCCCGUGUGGCUGCACACCCGUCCCUGGCCCAUCUGCAGCUGCGCAAGACCCCGGUGCACGCGUCUCCCUUGGCACACGCAUGUCCCUGCCGUGUCCCCACCCACGUGCGUGUCCCACCCCAUCCCCAGCGUGGCUCCCGCGUGUCCCCAUCCCGUCCCUGCCUCGUCCCCCGCCCUGCCCGCCACCUCCCCGUCCCCGCACCCCCCCGGGGCGCCCCAGCGCGUCCCCAGCGCGUCCCCGACGGGGCGCGGGGGUGCAGGGCUGGGCCGCCACGACGAGCCCCAGCCUGCCCCGACGCGCCGGCGGGACGGGCAGCGCCGUUCCCAGGCCCAGCCCUGCGCCCGUGCCGGCCCCACGGGUGACGCCGGCCCCACGGGUGACGCGGGCCCCACGGGUGACGCUGGCCCCACGGGGUGACGCCAGCCAGGAAGCGCGGCGAGGCGCAGCGGGGCCGGAUGGGGCCGGGGGACGCGCGGCGGGGACGCGCCCCGGGUCGAGCCAUGGCCCCGGGGACCCGGCGCUGAGGGCGGGGGGCUGCCAUGGGCCCCCCCCGGCAGCAGGUGCUGGCCGCCAUCCGCGCCGAGGUGAAGCGGCACGAGGGGGCCAAGCAGCACGUCAACAAGCUGAUCCGGCUGGUGGAGACCGUGCCGGACCCACGGCUGCGCGCCAGCCUCACCGCGUCGCUCAGCGUCGUGCAAGGUACCGGGGGGGACGGGAACGGCACCGGGAACUGGGAACUGGCACCGGGAACUGGGCACCGGCACCGGGAACUGGGAACCGGCACCGGGAACUGGGCACCGGGCCCAGAGGCCGUGGUGGCGUCUGGAGGUUGGGAAGGGGACGGACGGAUGGAGAGAGGGAAGGAUGGGCGAUGGGGGGAUGGACAAUGGAUGGACGGACAGACAGUGGGAAGGCUGGCUGGAUGGACGGACGGAUGGAUGGACAGNNNNNNNNNNNNNNNNNNNNNNNNNNNNNNNNNNNNNNNNNNNNNNNNNNNNNNNNNNNNNNNNNNNN
rnacentral:lncRNA from 1 species